rnacentral:piRNA from 1 species
UUCUAUGUCUCAUGGAACCCAGAUCUCUAAA